rnacentral:rRNA from 1 species
UACGGAGGAGGCAAGCGUUAUCCGGAAUUAUUGGGCGUAAAGCGUCCGCAGGUGGCACUUCAAGUCUGUCGUCAAAGACUGGGGCUUAACCCUGGAAAGGCGGUGGAAACUGAAUCGCUAGAGUGCGGUAGGGGUAGAGGGAAUUCCCGGUGUAGCGGUGAAAUGCGUAGAGAUCGGGAAGAACAUCGGUGGCGAAAGCGCUCUACUGGACCGCAACUGACACUCAGGGACGAAAGCUAGGGGAGCGAAUGGG